GACGAACGCUGGCGGCGUGCUUAACACAUGCAAGUCGAACGGAAAGGCCCUGCUUUUGUGGGGUGCUCGAGUGGCGAACGGGUGAGUAACACGUGAGUAACCUGCCCUUGACUUUGGGAUAACUUCAGGAAACUGGGGCUAAUACCGGAUAGGAGCUCCUGCUGCACGGUGGGGGUUGGAAAGUUUCGGCGGUUGGGGAUGGACUCGCGGCUUAUCAGCUUGUUGGUGGGGUAGUGGCUUACCAAGGCUUUGACGGGUAGCCGGCCUGAGAGGGUGACCGGUCACAUUGGGACUGAGAUACGGCCCAGACUCCUACGGGAGGCAGCAGUGGGGAAUAUUGCACAAUGGGCGGAAGCCUGAUGCAGCAACGCCGCGUGCGGGAUGACGGCCUUCGGGUUGUAAACCGCUUUCGCCUGUGACGAAGCGUGAGUGACGGUAAUGGGUAAAGAAGCACCGGCUAACUACGUG
rnacentral:rRNA from 1 species